UCCGCCAUAUUGUUCAUUUGUUUAGCAUUAUUUUAAAUAACUAAGCUACUCUUUGUUUAAUCUGAGUUGCAUCCUCCUUUAAUGUUGUGGUCUGGGAGCCGGGGUUGUAAUAAUUAUUGGGGGUUUUUUUCUGUCGUGGACUGCAGAUGUUCACGGAGACAUGAGAAGGGGGAGGUGGCAAUUGGCGUGCAUCCAGUUCUGCCAGUGGUUGGUGUUACCAUGAUUUUGGGUAAUGAGAUAGCAGGUAGCUGGGUGUGGACCAAUGUUGCUCCAGUUCACCUCGUCAGCACUGGGCCUGAUGACAGUGAAACUGAGUUUCCAGAGGCGUUCAUGGCUUGCGCUGUGACAUGCACAAUGAAAUGAGUUGGUGGCAGAGCAGCAGGCUGACUGUUCUCUAAGGGUCUGCUGGAAAUGGCUAGUCCUUAUGGUGAGGUGAAAAGCCACAGCGUUUCUCCAGAAUGAUGUAUUGAUGAGAAAGUGGGUGCCUCAAGGAGAGCAUUUUGUUGAACCAAUUUACCAAGUUGUCGUGCCUUCCAGGUUUCCUAGUACAGUGUUGCAGAUUUCCCACAAUGAGUCUGGCCAUUUAGGUGUCAAAGAUGUAUGACUGCAUCCUGAGGUAUUUCUUUUGGCCCAGACUAAAGAGGGAAGUUCCUGCUUACAUAGUCAUGUCAUACAUGCCAGUUAACCAGCAAACCCAAUCAGAGUUUAAAACCCUUUCUGCUUUGUCCAAUACAAACUAUAGGUCAGCCUUUUGAACAUCUGAUCAUUGAUUGUGUGGGCCCAUUGCUGCCAUCUAAAGGGGGUGCAAGUUAACAGUGAUGCGCCAGAGCACAAGGUACCAGCUGCGUUUCCUUUACACACAAUUGCAGCCAGGUCUGUGGUACAUGUGUUAUCAGUUUAUUUCCAUCUUUGGUGUCCCCAGGGUCAUUCAGUCUGAUCAGGGCUCCAAUCUUUCGUCACACUUUUUGAAGCAGCUGCGCAUUCAGCACAAUCAGGCAUCUGCUUACCACACCCAGAGCCAAGGUGCAUUAGAGCAUUUUCAUCAAACUCUUAAGUCCAUGUUGUGUGCAUUUUGUAUACAGAUGAACAGACUGGGAAGAGGGUCUGCCAUGGUUACUAUUGGCUGCCAGAGAGAGGUGGUCCAGGAGAGUUACAGGGUUUAGCCCUAAUCUUGUGUUGGCCAUAACGUACAGGGUCCUCUAGCACUACUGCAGGAUAAAUGGAAAGAGGUCCAGCUGCCACAAAACCUUGACUAUGUAAAUGGCUUUUGGUAUAGGCUUUAUAAAGCCCAGGAAGUGGCUAAAAACAAUUUGGCAUCUGCACCGGACAAAAUGAGAACUUUAUGACAGCGGAGUUGAGGAUCGUGUCUUUUUGCCUGGAGAUCAGGUGCUUGCUUUGUUGCCCAUUGUUACUUCUCCAUUUCAGGUAAAGUUUUCAGGGCCAUACUCAGUGGUGGAAAAGGGGUCAGACCAGAAUUAUGUGAUUGAUACUCAGCUCUGUCAUGUUAACUUGCUAAAACCAUACUAUUCUCAUAUAGAGCAGUCAGUUGAAGCACAGCCUUCUGAUGUGCGUCCAGCUCACUUGUCUGUCUGUCAAAUCACCUUGUGGUAGGUCAAGGGGAGGAGGAUUUGUUAGGCCCAGAUGAAGUGGUGCUACAUGGUCAGCUUAAGAACUCCGUCUAUGCGGAGUCUGGAUGGCUUGUUAAGUCAUUUAGGAGUCUCAGCAUAGCCAGUUAGCUGACCUGAUCAGCAAUAUCAUGUCUUUUUGGUGAUACCCCUACCUGCACACAUUUGGUUGAGCAUGAUAGAAAUGUUAGUUUGUAAACCAAUUAAGCAGAGGUUUUAUCAUGUUCCUGCAGUCCUACAGCUUGGACAUUCGUUAUACUAAGGGGCAGGACAAUGUAGUGGCAGAUGCAUUGUCUCGGGCCAUUGAUUGACAUGAGUGUGUAUUGUGUUCAGUUGCUCUCCUUUGUCCCAUCCUCGGUCUUCUCGUCUUAAAUUCAGCUUCCAGGAACCAGUUGCUGGGGACGGAGGGGAGGAAUAGGAGGGUUUGCAGGGGCCGUAAGUGGAGAGGUGGUUUUAUAUAUUUUUGUUAAUGUAUUUACUUGCUGGCAGUAAACCAGGGUCCCCUUUGGUGUUGGGCCUCUGUACUGUGUGCUGUCUGUGUUUCUCUGCAGGCAAUCAAGAAGAUUGGGAGCACCUGGCCAGGGAGUCUAACCCAUUUUUAGGCCUGCCCGCCCAGAUGCCAGUUUCAGGUGCUUGCGCCUUCCAUACUGCUAUGCCACGUUCUUUAGUCUUGCAUCAUUUUAAAUAAAUUUGUUACUCUUUGUUUAACCUGAGUCGCAGCCUGAGAGCCGGGUCGUAACAGGAGUGAGGUGCAUAAUUAGUUGCUCAGUUGUAUUUUCUUCCCAGUGAUCUGGUGGUAAGUCUUCUUUGGAUGGGAAAUUAAAUCCAGGUAAAGACUUCUUUAAACCCAUAUGCUCCUUUUUUAGAAAAGUAAUUAAAGGUAAAACAGCUAACCGCCUUAUUUUAAUCGACAUGAGAAACCCUUAUUCUGGGGGAAACCUACACCUAUAAAGCUAUACAUACUAAAUGUACAGUAGUGCUCUGCAUAAUGUUAUGUAGAGCAAGCUAUGCUGUUUUAGCUGACAACUAGCCUAAAUGUAAUCACUCUUUUCGUCAGCAAUGCUGUCCUGCUGUAAAUGCUUACAGGACAGUUGAGCAAUAUAAUUCACAGCAUAUUAGGACUGAGAGAUAUCUAUCUAUCGCAAAUAAAUGACCAAUUACCAAAGUAUGAUCAAAUUUGCAAGCAGUAUGUAGCAUGUAUUUGUUAAGAACACAGUGGCCUGCAUGUGUUUUGUGAAACCAGUAUCUUUUUUAUUUUUUUUUCCACAAUUACCAAUUGAAGAGAUCAAGGCUUUUUUUUUAAGACUUCUAAUAAUAGUGCGGUAUGUAAUCUGUCUGACUAAAUUUGUGGGGUUUUUAGUCAGUCCUGCGAACAGAAUUUUGUCAGGGAGGAGUCUGCAUAGCUGCAUCAGUCAUUUGGGGUCAUCCGAUAAUAUAUUUUCAGCAGUAUUCUCAAAUAGAUUGAAUAGACUUUUAGUGUUAAGCGUGUGCUGAAGCUCUGGAGUCAAACCUAUGACUCAACAGUUCCCUCACAGGGCACUGUGGCCAAAAUAUACAGGCUAUGACACCAUCUCUUUAUUUCAUCAUUAGUGGUAAAAAUGACAUCAGAAGUCAAUGGUUGCCUGAACAAAAGGAAAUGGAGUGGGCUAUAAACACUGAGUGUCCACAGCAUCAUCGCUGAGAUGUGGUACACACAGAUUGCAUUGCGAUACUCGUAUGUCUCAUGCAGAAAAGUCAAUAGAAAACUUAAACCGGCCAAUAUGCAACUUUUUACAGUAAUAUGGCCAAUGAGCCACAGUUGAAUGUUUACAUUUUUCUAAAUUAUAUAUUCUGCAUUUACACCCCUAAUGGAAGUAGUAUAACUAAAAUUAAAGAAAAUGGAAGUUAUUUUGGCUCAUUACAAAAGUGCUGUUGUAACUAACAAGUAGUCAGUGAGAAAUAUAAAUCAGAAAUUUUGAUGCAUCAAUAACUGCAUCAUAGCCUUCUGUAUCAAAUCAUGAGGUGCCUAGAGAUUCACACCACUAAUGUUUAAAGAGGUCAUAAUGCUUUUUGGCUUUCCUUUACUGUGUUAUCUUUUUGUGCAUGUAAUAGGUUUGCAAAGUGAAACAGCCCAAAGUCCACCCUAAAGGGUGUUACUCACAGAAAACACUGCUCCCGAACUGCCUGAAAACAGCUUGAUUGUAGUCCAGCCUUUACUUCCGUAACCUAUCUUCAUCACUAUAAUGUAUCAUAAUGCUUGCCUAGUAGCUAGUGUGGCAUGCCCUCAACACUGCCAGAGAAACACACUGAUCUGCAGCACACAUCCGCCCGCUGCCUCCCCUUACCCCAACUUCCAAGUUGGGGUGAGGAUGUGAUGUAGAGAGUGCACAUUUAAAACAUUGCGUAUAAAAGAGAUGUUACAAAUUAAUAACUUUCUCCAAUGUCUUGCUCCCGUUUAGGUAGCGUAGCUGGUUUGGGAACAUGUACAGUUGAACCAAAGCUGUGCUUACCAGUUUUGUUUUGGAUCACACCAUCUUGCUUGUCAGGACCUAUAUACAAUUUAUGGUCAGGACCCGCCUUACACUCCUUCUGAUUGGCUAGUAGUCCUUACCAAGGUACCUCACAUGGUGAACUCUCAACAAAGAUUGAAUAGACAUGAGAUGCCUCACUCCUUAGAUAAAAUGGAGCGUUCAAUACACAG